rnacentral:rRNA from 1 species
UACAGAGGGUGCGAGCGUUAAUCGGAAUUACUGGGCGUAAAGCGUGCGUAGACGGUUAUUUAAGUCGGAUGUGAAAGCCCCGGGCUCAACCUGGGAAUUGCAUUCGAGACUGAAUAGCUAGGGUGCGGUAGGAGGGAAGCGGAAUUUCCGGUGUAGCGGUGAAAUGCGUAGAUAUCGGAAGGAACUCAGUGGCGAAAGCGGCUUCCAUGGAC